rnacentral:lncRNA from 1 species
GCCAUGACCCAGCGUGAGAUCCACCACUGGCUGCCUUUCUGUGACGGGCAGGGAGCCAGGAGCCCCUCCGCUCCCCCAGGCCAGGAGUGGACCAAGGGAGGACAGAGGGCAGAGGUGCGGAAGAGGGAUGGGGCCUGGCCUGGCUCCCAGCCUCCUGGGCGGGGCCACCUGGGCUUGUUACCAUGGUGACUGGUUUCCCUGGUUACCCGGGAGCCUGCAGAACCACAGCCAGGCAGGGGCGGCUGGCGGGGAGGGGGCAGAGACGCCCCUUGGGAGGCCUGGCUGUCUGGGCCCUCAGGCCCCGGGGGCCCGCAGCAGAGCCCCACCUCCCUGGCUGGCGUGCAGAGGUGGUCCAGGCCCUACCCCCAGGCACAGGCUGGUGUCCUCCUAACACAGUUGCAGAAGGAGUCAGCCAGCCAUGGCGUGAAGAAGAGAGAAAAAACGUUCAACUAUGCCAGUCUUUGCAGUUGAUUUCCUGUGGCUCUAAAACAAAGGCACGCCAGGCUGGCUGUUCCGUGGCCGGGCAAGGGGUGGCUCACCUUCCACCAGGUGGAGGGCGCCGUCCACGGCUUGCAGUGCUGUCCAAAUGGUGACCGUGUUACUGUGGAGGGUUGGAUUCCUGUCCCUGGAACCCAAACACCUGUGGGUUGCUGCCCCACCCCCACACUUCCCGCUCCCCUCUGCAGUGGCCUUGGGCCACUGCUGCUUCCUCGGGAGGAAGCACCUUCCUGCGUGUGGUGGGCGGUUAGUGGAAACACUCGAGGCACCCCUGGGCAGGUAAGCUGGCACGUCCACACCUGCACCACUGUCCAGUGACACCCAGCUCAGCCACAGAGCAGCCGGGGUCUGCGUGGCCCCUGGGCAGUGUCUGCAUUGGCUUCCCCGGGUGCCCAGAGUCUGGCCGGGAAAAUGGGGUCCUGAACUAGCUGCUGCCGUGGGAAGCCCAGGGCAGCGUGCGGAUCCGACUCUGGGAUUCACUUCCCGAGCCGGCAAGGGGAAGGGCACGUGGGAAAACGCACCUUGGGAAAGCUGCCACGUGGGCAUCUCUGCUUUUUGCAGCCACUGAAGACUUGGGAAGAAACUGAGCUGUGCCGCUGGCCACGUCCUGCAGGUCAGCAAAGCCAAACCAUCGCGACUCAGUGGCUUCUGUCCACACCUGUGACCAGGGCGACCAGCCAGCAGGCUCUGCAGGGAGCAGCACUACCUGCCAAUGCUGGACAGCGUCACCGAUGUGCUCAGUAAUAUCCCACUAAAAGAGACGCUGAAUCUCUGAGCAACAACCCGCAGGGCUGUGUGUCUGCGAGCACAGCCCUGGGCGACGGGCGGACGUCAUCCAAGGCUCCAGGUCACCCAGGGGUGGUGAGAGAUGACGGCCGGGUCGCGGCCGUGGAGCCUGCAGUGCCAGUGUCUUUGGGACACAGCCUGUCCUCUGCUGUUCGGGCAACAGUAGACGCCAGGGUGUGCGACUCGCACCUGUGUAGUGUUAACACCAGCAGCCCAGCUGUCUUCCUUCAGAGCACGUGGCACCUGCUCUGCCCCCACACAACACACGGGGAUCCCGCUGGACCAACCCCUGCCCAGGUCCAGCAGCCGCCCUGCGAGCGAGCAGCUUGAAUGUUUUACCCAGGGUCGGUUUUUUUUUUUUAUCAAACAUGGGGUAAUAAAUGAGUAUUUCUUUAUCA